AUGAUUUAAAAAAGAUUGCUUCAUCCCUACUAUUCAGGUGUCCUCUAUUACUAUACAGCGCUCACAGAUCAAAUUGGAAACACAAUCGGACUGUGUAUUGCAAAACAAGCUCAGGAAUGUUACUUGCUUACAGUUCAUUCAGCGCACAUAAAUUAUCAUAAAAGAUGUCCAAAUCUUUGUCUCUUUAGAAAUUCGCUGCGGCUAUGGCUUGUUGUGAUCAUUGGUACUUAUGCAGUCCCUCUUCCUGAUACCAUUGUCAAAAUAAAUAUUCUUGUCUCCCAAACAGAUCCAGAGUUCUUGGCAUUUAGUCAAUGGAUACAUUGCACGCUCUGCGAGAAUGACUGUGCUUGCCCCACCUCCUCUCCCGCUACCUCCUGGCAGAUGUCACAUGUCCCAUGCAGGACCAUUCACAGAGUGCUGCUUGAGCUUGCACAUGCUCAGUGUGGAGAUGGCUGUGGUUCCUCAGAAAGCCACAGAUGGUUCCCGUAUCCAACAUGGUGAUGCCAGGGACCCACAGUAGUAAUAAAAACUGGCUGCAAGAAGAAAAUGCUGGACUCCAGUCUCCAUUGUAUUUGUAGUUGUUUACCUAAAAAAACGUAAGUUUCUCUUUAAUGGCUCUGUAGUUUAUUUUUCAUUAAAUCAUUUCUGCCUCCUUGUAAUGUUCUCUGUGAGCUCCCAAA